rnacentral:lncRNA from 1 species
AAUAUUUUUCGAGUCAUACGUAAAUAAUUUUUGUAGUGUAAAAGCUAAAUAAAUUUAUACAUACUGUAAUACAGUAAGCCAAAAUAUUUAAUUUAAUUUACAAUAACAAGAAGGCCCCCGAAUAAACAAAAGUAAAGAGGACUGUGAACCUACAGUUUGAAAAAUGCAAAUCCAAUAAUAGUCCUUGAUGAGAUCAGCUAUCUACAGUCUACUGAACUUGAAAUGGAUGGAAAGGAGGGUGGUGAGAUUAUAAAAUCCCAGUAAGUAAACAGACAUCAUCAUAAACAUCUAGAGUUGAGUACAUGGAGACAAUAAAGUAAAUCAUCGUAAAUUGGUUCACAGCAUUAGAACACAUUUCAUUUAAAAUACGUAAAGAGACUUAUGAAUCUCAUAAAAACUAGGCUUGUGCCAUAAAUCCAUUCUCGGGGACACCUUGGCCGAGGCAUCCUACCAAGACCACCAAGGCUAUUAAAAAUUCACAUUUCACAUAAAUCAUGUUUUUGUUUUGAAAACAUAGUCGUUCCUUGGCGUUGGUUGAGUUCCCCCUCACGUGGUGGUUUGGCGUGAAGUGAACCCUAAACUUUACCCCAGGAGAUACCCUACGCUCCUGUCCAUUCGAGGUAAGAAUAUAAUGGGGUUUACCGUGCCCCUCUAAAAGGCUGGUCCACAGAAACCCCCUACUGCAGUGAUUAAUUAAUAUAUAAUCUACCAUAUAAUAAAAUUUUGACGGCAUGACAGGGCUAAUGAAAUACUACCCAGCCUGCAAGGGUAAAAUAAAACAAUUCAUACAAUUCAUAAAACACAGCCCAGCCAGUCAUGCCAACACAAUAACAAUAUAACAUAAGCCAUCAAUUUAAACAAUCAAAUUGCCACAAUUAAUAGUCUCCGUGUACUCUAUUUUUCAAAAUCAUUAUUAAUUUCAAAACAAUUUAUAAAUUAAUUUCAUUGGAACACCUUUAUUCAUAAAACAUGAAAAUUUACCUUUUUAAAUCCAUAUUUCCAUAGAAUUCAUGAAAUCAUCUAAAAACCACCCUAGAUAAUUAAAAUGACAGUAAGUUUACUCACAAUGUCUAGAAUGUAAACUUUCGAAGUACUCUGUCUACUGGUCCUCGGAUGCAAUUUUCUUGCCUUUAUCGGAGGACUCACCACCUUUGAUUGCUUGAUUCCUUGAAAUCUCACACUUUUACUUUAAUUUUCCCACCUAGGUUUCUUGUUUUUCUUUUCCUCUCUUUGUUCUUGCUAUGGCCGGC